rnacentral:rRNA from 1 species
GGUGGUGACCGGGUCGCUCCACGCCUCGACCCGGUAGGUCCAGUUGCCCUGGGCGUCCGGGGUCACCUCGGCGCCCCACCGGUCGCUGCCCGGGGCCAGCUCCCGCAUCGGGGUCCA